GGCGGUGAUCCUGUAGCUGGUCUGAGAGGAUGAUCAGCCACACUGGAACUGAGACACGGUCCAGACUCCUACGGGAGGCAGCAGUGGGGAAUAUUGGACAAUGGGCGCAAGCCUGAUCCAGCUAUGCCGCGUGAGUGAGGAAGGCCUUAGGGUUGUAAAACUCUUUCAGUAGGGAAGAUAAUGACGGUACCUACAGAAGAAGUCCCGGCAAACUCCGUGCCCAGCAGCCGCGGUAAUACGGAGGGGGCAAGCGUUGUUCGGAAAUUAUUGGGC
rnacentral:rRNA from 1 species